rnacentral:rRNA from 1 species
UACAGAGGUGGCAAGCGUUGUUCGGAAUUACUGGGCGUAAAGGGCGCGUAGGCGGUCUUGUAAGUCUCGUGUGAAAUCCCUCGGCUUAACUGAGGAACUGCACGGGAUACUGCCUGACUUGAGAUCGGGAGAGGGAAGCGGAAUUCCGGGUGUAGCGGUGAAAUGCGCAGAUAUCAGGAGGAACACCGGUGGCGAAGGCGGGUCUCUGGGCCGUAACUGACGCUGAGGAGCGAAAGCAUGGGGAGCGAACAGG